AUAAAGUAGCAAAUAACAAAUCAAAUAAAAAUUUUAUUUGAAUUAUUGCUUGGAUAAAAACUUAUUUGAAUAAUGCCAAAUCUUGUAUCACAUAUCUAUAAGUAUACGUGAAAUGUUUCCAAUUAGGGGGAGAUUUCCAAUUUCAAAUGACAAAAAUCCACGAGGUAAAACAUUUUUCAACUUUAUUGAAUUAUUUCCUUGUUUGUUUAUUACACGGUGGAAUUUCGAUUUCGUUGUUUGAUUAGAUAGUUGGAUUUUCAUUUUAUAUUUAUAUUUUCUAUGUUACAUUUAUUACAAUUUAUUCAAUUUUAGUUUCAAUAGUGUAUUGUAUCGUAAGGAAAAGAAGCCUGUCUACGGUGAUAAGUGAACAAGAGUAAUAAUAUUUCAUUUUGUAUCGUAGGACAUAAAUAUGGCAAUAAAUUUAACGAGAAUACUGCUGCUGUAUUCUUGGAAAAUUACGAAUGAAAAAAUAUUUAUAUUUUACGACUUCCUGAGUGACCCUGGUAAAAGAGAAAUGAUUAAGGUCAGAAAGCUCUCUGUGUCCAACAAGGUGAAAUGCGUAUUUCAAUUUGGCUUUAUCAUAAUUUAAAAAUAUUCAUGUUAAAUAAAAAAAGAACAAAAUAGUAGAGAUAAUAAUGAUUUAAAGAUUAUCACGUACGCUUAUACAUUUAAAUGUGUAUUAUACUGGACAAAAUGUUUACCAACACAGUAUUAUAUUCUUCUUAAUAUCAUUUUAAUAUUGAAAAAUAUUUACUGUUAGUUACAGUGUUAUUUAAACUCGUCAUAUGAUCCACAUGUUUCACAAGAUUUGUCACGUCAAAACGAUGAAAAGAUUAGAAUUAUAAUUAACGUUACAAAUCUGUUCAUUUUUUAUUUUCAGUAUUGCUUCAUUCUGUAUAUUGUAUUUCCGUUGACAUGUUUAUAAUGACGUUAGAAAGUCAUAAAAUAUCCAUUCGUUAUUAAAAUUCGGUAUAUUGACUACAAAAUGAUUAAAAAAAAGAAAAAAACGGAAUAAAUAAAGCAAAAUAAAAACUGGCGAUGAUGGCUUUUAAUGGUCCAUCGUUUGAACGAGAAUGGAUGGUGAAAUGGAAAUGAUCUGCGUUCUCAUUCAUCCACGACAGAUAUAUGUAUACGUAUAUCAAACGAUGUUAAAAAAGAUAGUCGAGAAAUGUUGGCUACUAUCCAUCAUGUUAUCAGAAAAUGUGGAAAUUCCUCGAUGAGAUAAUAAUGCUCUCACAUAUACAGCCACGUCAAUGGAAAAGUGGUUCUUCUCUUGAUCUUAUUUUUCAUCAAGGAUCUGCAUGUUGAUUUGGCUAAUUUGAUUAAUUGCUAGGGAGAAAUGUUAACUAUCAAAGUGUACUAUGAUAUAAAUAUCGAAUUAAAUAAAUAAAUUUCCAAUAUUUAAUAAAACGUAUGCGACAUAGAAAAAAAGAACAAUUGAAAGGAAAAUGAAAUCGCUGGGAUUCGAAUGCAUAUUCAUGAUCAAUGAAAUACUAGUUUUUCCGCGCUGAAAAAACGGCAAAACGUUUAGAAAUUGCGGUAUACGUCGGUAUACGUGUAUUUUGAGAAACGUUUGGUAGGAGGUUGGUGACGAUAAAUAAGAAAAGGUGCGCAUAAUUUUAUAAAAUAAUAUUUCAUUCGUUUGCAACAUCGCAACAAAACAAGUAGCAAUAAUUCGUGGCCACGAAUAUUUUCACGUCUUAUAAAAGAUUACCACAGGACAGAUUUUUGGCCUCGAUUUAAUUUCGUUGCUUUCUUACGGAUAAUUGCUGAGUAAUACGUAUGCGUACAUCUGUUCAACGCGAAGAUUAAAUUCUCGAAGGUCCUAAAAAUCCUUGCACUCGUAAUAAAACUUUAGCCAAAAUGAAAUAUAUAAAAUGUGGCACAAUACUAAUUUAACUAAUUUUUCGCAAAUUCUUCUAUUAUAUAUUUUCCUAAAAAGACAUAAUCCUACGUCUAUUUACAAUUCAUUAAAAAAAAAAAAAAAGGAAAAAGGCAAAUACGUAGAUAUUGCAAAAUAUUUAUCUUCGGAUACGAGUCAUUGUAUCAACAAUGUAUCGUUGUGGAAAUUUAAGACUGACGCAAUAAACACUACCUGGAGUGCUGCGUUGUCGCAACUUGUUUAGACGCAACGUAAACAGUUUGUUUCUCAAUCGAUCAAUGGCUUGACACGCGCAUUGCAAAUCGGUUUUUUGAAUUUCAAGUCAUUCCUCGUUAUCGUGGACCAAUUGCAAGCUGUAGCAAGUUCUCAGUGCUACGAACUUGCGUCAUUUCGUUUGCGUAAUUAGUAAAAAUUCUGAAGCACGAUUCAUCCCAUUGACGCACAAUACGAUGAAAGAGGAAAACGAGUAACGAACGGUGUGAAAGACCAAACGGUUCCUGUUUCAAGGCUCAUGUUGUUUCUCAUCUACGAGACGACAUAACAGUUGGGGUCAUAUUGGAAAAGGAAAAGGACAGAAACGGAAAUUACGUACUCUUUCAAUAUGAAACCAACGUGUGAUGUGUAAACCUGCAUAAAGAAGCUUUCUCUUUAAUCUAUAAAAGGGUGCAUAUCGGCCAACAUGAUGAAUUGAAGAGAAAUUGUGUAGGUUGAAUAUUCGCAAGUAGGUCGAGAAGUUCAUUAGAAUUCUAUAAAGUACCAUUACAUUUUUUUUCACGAGAGAGAACAGUAAUUUUCUACUUAUUUUAAUAUGAUCUUCUAACAGUAUACCGAACGAUUCUAUAGAUAAUACUUUUUUAAUUUACUUUAAUUUAGCUUAAUUUAUGUGUCAGGAGAAGCGCGAAUCUUUUUGGGUCAUUAGCGAGACUGCUGUAUUGCAUUACAUAGUUCGAUUAUAGAUGCAAAGAAAUUUUCUUGUGUUUCUAUUUUCCUUGAUUUUCAUAUAAUAGCUUUUAUCAGCUUUAACCUAAUACCUUUUAACCGAAAAAAUGAUCUUAAAAUCAUAAAUUACAAGGUCUGUUAUUCUAAAUAAACUAAUUCUAUCUUGAUCCAAUUUUUUUACCACAAAAUUCUCCUCCUAUCAAUGUAAUUUACGUUAAAGUACACAAAUUUGAACAUUAAUAAAAAAGGUAAAAUAAUUAUAAAUUUAAUCAAAUUUUUAAUAGGGAAAUGUGUACCUACGAAAAAUAAUCUUACAAAUAUCGUUAUUAGAAUGAAUAGGAUUUGAUGAUUUGGUCAAACGUAAAAUUAUAAAAUUCGAAUAAAAAUGUCCAAUCCUCCGUC